rnacentral:tRNA from 1 species
GGAAGUGGAUAGGGCACUGGUGGCCCUCCCGGACUUCAAAUCCGGUGUGACGGGUUAACAGCCUGUCGGGUGGGUUCGAUUCCCAUGCACUUCC